rnacentral:lncRNA from 1 species
AGGCAGAAGGCUGUGAUGGGGAAAGGAGCACAUGGACAGGCAUUAAGGUAGGUGAACUGACCAUAUUUAGAAUCUCAGUUAUCAGUCCAUCAGUGAACAUCUGGAGACUUUGGACUUUUCACCGGUUAUACAUCCUUCUAUUGCAAUAUAAUAGCAUCCAGCCCAAGACAGGACAAAGUUUCUCGUGAUCAAUUUACAGACAAGAUAAUGUCCUAUUACUUGAUAGCUAAUGAAUUUUCCUCAUCUGAUCAGUCUAGUAGUAAGCCAACUUCCAAUGGGACCUGGGGAGACCAUGAAAGAAGUAAUGGUUAGGAAAGAGCAUGGACUUUAGGGUCCAAGUUGCUGAAUUUCAUGUCCUGUUCUUUUACUUACUGUCUGUGCAGUCUUGAACAAGAUACUCUUUCCAAGAUUUCACUUCUCUUAAUCUGUAAAUUGAGCAUAAUGAUA